CCUACGGGAGGCAGCAGUGGGGAAUAUUGCGCAAUGGGCGAAAGCCUGACGCAGCGACGCCGCGUGAGGGAUGAAGGUCUUCGGAUCGUAAACCUCUGUCAGCAGGGAAGAACGGUCACUGUGCUAAUCAGCAGUGAAUUGACGGUACCUGCAAAGUACGCACCGGCUAACUCCGUGCCAGCAGCCGCGGUAAUACGGAGGGUGCGAGCGUUAAUCGGAAUUACUGGGCGUAAAGCGCUCGUAGGCGGUAUGUCAAGUCAAGGGUGAAAUCCCCGCGCUGAAGGUGGGAACUGCCUUUGAAACUGGCAAGCUGGAGUGUGUGAGAGGAUGGUGGAAUUCCAGGUGUAGGGGUGAAAUCCGUAGAUAUCUGGAGGAACACCGGUGGCGAAGGCGACUAUCUGGCACAUAACUGACGCUGAGGAGCGAAAGCGUGGGUAGCAAACAGGAUUAGAUACCCCUGUAGUC
rnacentral:rRNA from 1 species